GACGAACGCUGGCGGCGUGCCUAAUACAUGCAAGUUGAGCGAUGAAGCUUGGUGCUUGCACCAAUUUGAAGAGCAGCGAACGGGUGAGUAACGCGUGGGGAAUCUGCCUUUGAGCGGGGGACAACAUUUGGAAACGAAUGCUAAUACCGCAUAAUAACUUUAAACAUAAGUUUUAAGUUUGAAAGAUGCAAUUGCAUCACUCAAAGAUGAUCCCGCGUUGUAUUAGCUAGUUGGUGAGGUAAAGGCUCAUCAAGGCGAUGAUACAUAGCCGACCUGAGAGGGUGAUCGGCCACAUUGGGACUGAGACACGGCCCAAACUCCUACGGGAGGCAGCAGUAGGGAAUCUUCGGCAAUGGACGAAAGUCUGACCGAGCAACGCCGCGGGAGUGAAGAAGGUUGUCGGAUCGUAAAACUCUGUUGGUAGAGAAGAACGUUGGUGAGAGUGGAAAGCUCAUCAAGUGACGGUAACUACCCAGAAAGGGACGGCUAACUACGUG
rnacentral:rRNA from 1 species